rnacentral:rRNA from 1 species
UUCCAGACUCCUACGGGAGGCAGCAGUGGGGAAUAUUGCACAAUGGGGGGAACCCUGAUGCAGCGACGCCGCGUGAGUGAAGAAGUAAUUCGUUAUGUAAAGCUCUAUCAGCAGGGAAGAAAAUGACGGUACCUGAGUAAGAAGCCCCGGCUAACUACGUGCCAGCAGCCGCGGUAAUACGUAGGGGGCAAGCGUUAUCCGGAUUUACUGGGUGUAAAGGGAGCGUAGACGGCAGCGCAAGUCUGGAGUGAAAUGCCGGGGCCCAACCCCGGAACUGCUCUUGGAACUGCGUGGCUGGAGUGCAGGAGGGGCAGGCGGAAUUCCUGGUGUAGCGGUGAAAUGCGUAGAUAUCAGGAGGAACACCGGUGGCGAAGGCGGCCUGCUGGACUGCAACUGACGUUGAGGCCCGAAAGCGUGGGGAGCAAACAGGAUUAGAUACCCUUGUAU